GGUUUUGUCAAUUAUCGUGAUUUGGAGCCACUUAUCGAUCCUCCCAUUCUUCCAUGUGAGGACCAGUAUUACAAAUUUACAAAUUUGAUCAAUUUUUAUCUAAUUAGGACACUAAUCUUCAUACGUGUAUUCCUUCUAUCAAGUUAAUGAUCCUUCAAUUUUAGAUUUUAUUAACUAAUUAUUUACUUUUGGUGUUUCACAGGUCGUAUAAUCAGAUUUAUGAUUCCUAUAUCUUCAACUAUGGGUAGGGUUGAGGGACUGGGGUAUAUAGCAUGUGUUUGGUGUGUGUUAAAUUGGGUUAUGACGCUAUCAAAGUAAGGGUGGGUGGGUGGUCGUGUUUUGUGUGUGUUAAUUAAGGUGAGGUUAGUGGUAAGGUCAUAAGGGUCUAUCAUAGCUUUUAACUUCUUUAACUGUGUUUAUGUUCUUACUGGAGGUCAAACAAAACACGAAAAGGUAUUUGUUGUUAUACCCUAAUGAUAUCAGUUUAAUCACUCUUAAUAUCCUACAAAGAAUAUAUUUGUUCACAGUUAACAAUUUAGCUUUGGAAUUCAUUUAUGCAUUUUAGGUUUUGAAACAAUUUGUACAUAACAUUGAACGGAACGAUCAUAGUUAACUAUGGAUCAUGGUGUAUUAAUUAUAUAUACCUUAUGAUGAUAGAAUAUAACAAAAAAGACCAAAUACUUGCCUUAUCCCAUAGGGUGGGUGGAUGGGCGUGUUUUGUGUGUGUUAAUCAAGGUGAGGUCAGUGGUAAGGUCAUAAGGGUCUAUAAUAGCUUUUAACUUCUUUAAUUGUGUUUAUGUUCUUCUUUGUGUUUACUCAGGGUUUUCUUUUCUGACGACUGGGAAUCUAUAAAGUUUUCUUAUUACUGGAGGUCAAACAAAACACGAAAAGGUAUUUGUUGUCAUACCCUAAUGAUAUCAGUUUAAUCACUCUUAAUAUCCUACAAAGAAUAUAUUUGUUCACAGUUAACAAUUUAGCUUUGGAAUUCAUUUAUGCAUUUUAGGUUUUGAAACAAUUCGUACAUAACAUUGAAUGGAAUGAUCAUAGUUAACUAUGGAUUAUGGUGUAUUAAUUAUAUAUGCCUUAUGAUGAUAGAAUAUAACAAAAAAGACCAAAUACUUGCCUCAUCCCAUAUGGACAGUACGAUAAUUAACCACCUCUACAUAUAUAUUAUGAGAUAGUUUAUACGUAAGAUAUGGAAAAAAAAUUAUGAUUUAAUGUGUUUUGCAAAUAUACUCUAUUUAUUCAAGAUGAAGGACAAAAUGGUCAUUUUAGUACAAAAGAUUGGAACCUAUUAAAUCACUAUAUUUGUUUUGUUUCUUCCGCUUUUUCAUUUAGUAGUUUCAUGAUUUUAGCAUUUCUUUUGUUGGUAAAUGAUGCAUUAUUUCUAUUCCCAUUUUUUUAUUUCUUCUGUUGUUGUUGAUUGUAUUACAUAAUUUGCAAUCUCAUAUUACAGGUUUUCGCUUACAAAAGAACUUUUAAUUGAAAGACUAAAUAAUGUUCGAUAAGAUGAAACAAUUUGUCAGAUUGGUUCGAAUCCUUUGAUUUUCUUUUUCUCUUCAUAAUGCUGAAUAUAGAUACACUACACAUGAUUUCAGGGACAUUCAAUAACAUCAACAAUAAGGUAAAUAUUCAUAUUUCUAGAGUAAUCUGUUUUUUUACUACUUUUGGUUGAUUAAAGUUAUGUUUUUUCUUUUCUGUAGCUUUGUGUUACUUGUGCCCAAGGAUAAGUUGGAGAAAGAAAAACACUUCAUGUCACUUGUGUCCAUAGAAAUCACAUUACAGAAAGAUCUCACUCUAAAAAUUUCAAAGGGACAAAAGUACAACGCUAUUUCACGCUAUAAUGUAUGUGAUUGGUGUGCUGGAACAUGUAACAAGCACCAAAAAACACACAUCCUUUGACAUAAUAUAUUAUGGUCAUUUAACACAGUUUACAAAUUUGAAAAUUUUGAAAAACAAAUCCAAUAUUGGGGUGUAACUGUUCUCUAUGUAAGCAUAUGUAAGCCUAUAUGCAAGAAAUAAUAAUGUACUUUCAUUAAUUUGUUUAUUUUAGCAUUCUCUUAAUGAUAUAUUUGGGUUGUUACAACUUUAAGAACGAGGUUCAAACAAUAACACCAUUUUUAACCUAAUGUCGUAUUCAAAGUAUAAAUAAAUAGUUUAUGAAAGAAUAUCUAUAGAGAAUAAACCGAACAAAAAAUAUCUCACAUUUAUCCCUGCAACGCGGGGUCACUCACCUAGUUAUAUAGAAAAAAUGAGUUUGUUGCCUUUUUAAAAGAUCAAAUAAAUUUGUUGACAACUUAACAACAUCUUGAAAAGUUUAUUUUUAAAAUUUAAUAUAUUCUUAAAUUUAUUACAUAAAUAUUAGUUGUAACGUGUUAUGUCACACUAGAUUAGAUUAUAAUAAUAUGGAUUUCCCCACAUAUAUGUCCUCACAGCGUCCAAUGUUUUUUUUAUUAUAAUAAAGAUAAAGAUCUUUUUUUCUUCUUCAUCAUGUGCCUUUGAUAAUAUUUAUUUUUUCAAAACCUAUCUAAUAAUAAAUAUAAGAAAGAAUGUAAUAUGAUGAGUUUGAUCAAUUCAACAUACCCAUUGUAUCUUAUCAAUUAUCAGUAACAUAUUCCAGUAACCGCUAAAGUUACUAUGGUUUUAAUUUUUUAUUGGAUUUUAAAAUCUUUGACCAUUUCAAGAUCGAUAAAUCCAUAUAUUAGGCAAGAUUCUUGGGAUUAUUAUUAUAAUAAAACUACAAAAAACAAAAUUCCAAAACCUAUUCAUUAGUUUUUCUUAAAUGACGUUUGAUUUUUUUAUUCAAUAAGUUAUAAUAUGAGUUUAUUAUUGGGUAUUUGUGUACAUAUAUUAUUUUUGGCAUAUGCACCUAUCUAUAGUUGUUAAGGAUUUAUCUUUCUAUCCAUGUGAAAUAGUGAUAAAUACUACAUUUUUAUAAAGUUAAUAGUAUUUU
rnacentral:lncRNA from 1 species